rnacentral:rRNA from 1 species
UGAGGAAUAUUGGUCAGUGGGCGAGAGCCUGAACCAGCCAAGUAGCGUGAAGGAUGACUGCCCUAUGGGUUGUAAACUUCUUUUAUAAAGGAAUAAAGUCGGGUAUGGAUACCCGUUUGCAUGUACUUUAUGAAUAAGGAUCGGCUAACUCCGUGCCAGCAGCCGCGGUAAUACGGAGGAUCCGAGCGUUAUCCGGAUUUAUUGGGUUUAAAGGGUGCGUAGGUGGUGAUUUAAGUCAGCGGUGAAAGUUUGUGGCUCAACCAUAAAAUUGCCGUUGAAACUGGGUUACUUGAGUGUGUUUGAGGCAGGCGGAAUGCGUGGUGUAGCGGUGAAAUGCUUAGAUAUCACGAAGAACCCCGAUUGCGAAGGCAGCCUGCUAAACCGCCACUGACGUUGAGGCUCGAAAGUGUGGGUAUCAAACAGGAUUAGAUACCCUGGUAGUCCACACGGUAAACGAUGGAUACUCGCUGUUGGCGAUAGACUGUCAGCGGCUUAGCGAAAGCGUUAAGUAUCCCACCUGGGGAGUACGCCGGCAACGGUGAAACUCAAAGGAAUUGACGGGGGCCCGCACAAGCGGAGGAACAUGUGGUUUAAUUCGAUGAUACGCGAGGAACCUUACCCGGGCUUGAAUUGCAGACGAAUUGCUUGGAAACAGGCAAGCCGCAAGGCGUCUGUGAAGGUGCUGCAUGGUUGUCGUCAGCUCGUGCCGUGAGGUGUCGGCUUAAGUGCCAUAACGAGCGCAACCCUCGUGUCCAGUUACUAGCAGGUUAUGCUGAGGACUCUGGACAGACUGCCAUCGUAAGAUGUGAGGAAGGUGGGGAUGACGUCAAAUCAGCACGGCCCUUACGUCCGGGGCUACACACGUGUUACAAUGGGGGGUACAGCAGGCAGCUACCGGGCGACCGGAUGCCAAUCCCGAAAGCCUCUCUCAGUUCGGACUGGAGUCUGCAACCCGACUCCACGAAGCUGGAUUCGCUAGUAAUCGCGCAUCAGCCACGGCGCGGUGAAUACGUUCCC